CAGAAACGGAGAAGGAAGUAGACCAAGAAAAGAGCUAGCAGAAGAUUCAGACUACAUUUUUUUUUGGACUACCCAAAGUUCUUGUUUAUAGAGCAAUCACUGCCUAUCAGGAUGGUUUCCAGAACUACUGGAGUGUUCCUGGGUGCUUAUUUACUGUACUUGCCAAGUACAAAUAGCAAAGUCAUCACCUUGUGACCGUGACCCCAUGCGAAGUGGACGAAAUACGAUGGGCUAUGGUUCUGACGUUGAUUAGCGAGGUCCACGGUGGGCCGUGAAAUCCAAUAAGACCACUGAGGUAUGGUGAGCAAUUACAGAAGACGCCUGUCUGCCAC
ensembl:lncRNA